UGGGGAAUUUUGGACAAUGGGGGCAACCCUGAUCCAGCCAUGCCGCGUGUGGGAUGAAGGUCUUCGGAUUGUAAACCACUGUCGCGAGGGACGAAGCUCUGACGGUACCUCGAAAGGAAGCACCGGCUAACUCUGUGCCAGCAGCCGCGGUAAUACAGAGGGUGCGAGCGUUGUCCGGAAUCACUGGGCGUAAAGGGCGCGUAGGCGGCCCGGUAAGUAGGGGGUGAAAUCUCAUGGCUCAACUGUGAGGCUGCCUUCUAGACUGCCAGGCUUGAGCACAGUAGAGGCGAGUGGAAUUCCCGGUGUAGCGGUGGAAUGCGUAGAGAUCGGGAAGAACAUCGGUGGCGAAGGCGGCUCGCUGGGCUGUUGCUGACGCUGAGGCGCGAAAGCGUGGGGAGCAAACAGGAUUAGAUACCCAGGUAGUCCCUGAGCGGGCUGGCAAGGCGCAU
rnacentral:rRNA from 1 species